AACUAUCAACCAUGUCUCGAUUGACUUUUGAGCACAUGGCUUGGAUGUGGGGGUUGCUGGCUGCGAAAGCGGUCAGCUCUCCUUAAACGCAUUAGCAAAGGGGUGUGCUAUGGUCUUCUGGACGUGCACGGCCUUUGACGUGAUAAUGAUCGUCGUGGCUGGAGCGUCCGUCAUAGACCAUGCAUAGACAAGCCUCGAUUUGCUUCUAAUUCCAAGAUCCUCUAAUCUCAGUGGUGGUCGGGAGGUCUUGCUAGCUAUUAGUCUACUAGCCUACUAGCCUACUAGUCUGUGUGCAUGCAUAUGGACGAACGGCGAACAGUGAACGGCGAACGUUGACAAGGCUGACGACGACAAAGCUAGACUUGGGGAUCGUAUUCAUUGAC
rnacentral:misc_RNA from 1 species